GCCACAUGUCCAAGCUACACUUGGGAUUCAUGUGGGUUAAAAAAAUGUGCAUUUUCUUCCCUCAAAACAAAACAAUCUUCUGCUAAACCACGUGCAGUAUGGGGGUACCUGGGUGGAAGAUUCAUGAUCUUUAAUGUAGCCAUGUUGAGAGACCAGUGGCUUUGUCCUGGCCUGAGUGAAACAGUUGCCUGGAUGUCUGCACUGGGCACAGCUGCAUUUGGAUCAUCCCUGUUUCCAGAGCCCUGCGAUUACCUGUGAAGCAGAUAUCUGUUUCUCAGUCCCCCUGGGAAGUUCAGGGAGAAAAAGAGGGAGUGGGAGCCCUGAAAGCAAGGAGUUUCCUGCUUUCUCUCCCUAGGAAUCCCACAGUGAACAAUCCAAGGCACUCUCCAGCCUCACUCAGAGCCAGCAGUGGCCCCUCGGGAUGUUCCAAUGACACAAAACCUGCUGAUGGUGCUCUUAGGAUGGCCCUGAAUUACCCCAUCACUUACCAACAGCCAAAUGUUCAGCACCAAGGGGAGCCACGUAAGAGCUCAGAACAUUCACGUGAGGUGACUACAGCUUGGGAUGUGAGAAAUCCACUCCUGGGACAUUUCCCUCACGGGGUGCCACUCUCAGGGAGAGCAGCAAUGAGAGCAAACAGCAGACCUGGAGGAUCUGUCCACUGUGUGGUUUGUGACCACAGCACAUGUCCAGGAGUGGGGCCACCACGCUGCUCAGGACCAGCAGCCACACAAAAAUCAGCCCAGGACACCAGGCAAUGGCUGGGGUCAAAGGAGCCACCACUGAACACCCUUCCUGAGGUAUUCCAUUUCUUCAAGAUGCAGGAAACUGAUAACCAAAGCAAAUAAAUUCUUCCUGAGAACUAACUCUUUGAGUCACUUAUGUAUUUGUAGGCAACUGCGCAGUAAGGUCCAGACAAAAUAAUUUUUUUCCCAAAAAAUGUAGGCAAAAGCAUGUACAAAAACUGUGGAAAAGCAGGGAGAAAAUUCUAGAGAAAGAAACUUUUGAACUAUUCUUCACCUUGUGGGCAAGUUUUGGGUUUUUUCCUACUACAGCCAGUGCAGAUUUUCUUCCCCAAGUUCAUUUUGAUAUAGUAUUUUUUAAGUUUCCUUUAAUUCCUAUAGAAAAAAGGGGAUGGGAGGAAAAAAAUAAUUUUGCUUCUAUUGUCUAUCAAAAAUAAUAUUCCUAACAGAAGCAUAUUUUUGUUUAAAUUUGAAAGAAAACAAAAACUAUUUCAAGGGACUUGAAAUAUUUGAUGGCAGACAAAAUUUGGUGUGGAGUUUUAGAGACUUUGCUUCUACAAACCUUGUUGCUUUUAUUGCUCAAGAAAAAUUCCAGUAUUUGGUGAAUCUUCCCUACCAACCUGCUGUUUCAAGCAGGGCACAAUCUUGACUGUUCUCUGACCAUUCUUCUGUCCUUGAAGGAUUCAGCCCAUGCAGCACCCAGAGGAAGAAGAAGAGACCAUCACACAAAAUUACUGAGGGCAGCACCUGCAAGAGCAGAUGUUCUUAGGAAACCAUGGUCUCCUGUUCUCCAGCUACCUCCAAUUCUCCUGAAAAUAUGUCCCUUCCCAACUAAAUGCUGAUGCCCACUGACCAAGUUUCCCAAGCUUUGUUUAGAUGAUGCCAGGUAGGUGGCUAAAGCUCUCAGCCCUGCAGGGUUCAUUCUAAAGGGCUGGUUCUGAGCCCUCCUCCAAAAUUUUGAUGCUUUCACUGCAGAAAGAGGCAGCCAGCUCCAUGGGAGAGGCUGACACACUUGGCAUCCCUGAAGCCACUACAGAUCUAUCUGAGGAUCACAAGAAUGAACAGAAACUGGCAGGAAAACAGCCUGGAUGGGGGCACUGCAGCAGGAGUGUUCUGUGCCACACUAUUUCCCUCCCCCUGAUCCCAUACAUUAUCCCAAACCUUCCUCACACUGGGAAGAACUGCCUCUUCCAGUGCUUCCCAGCUGCCAUGUGAAAGGUUUUCCUGCUGCCCAAACCCUGUCCCCAGCCAGCUCCCCAAGCCUGCUGAGGCUCAGGAUUGUCAGUGAAAUCAAGGAACUGGCCCAGCUGCCCCAGAUGCUGCACACCAGAGCUCCCAGGCAAGUUCAGUGCAAAACUUCCCUUUUCCUUGUUGAUUUGCUACUCCCUUAUAACUACCAGACCAAUUAGCUGCAAGCCUGGGCAGAUGGUUAAAAUCCCACUUUGCUGGCUCACUAUCCACUCUCUUUUUUCCCUGUUUAAUGCUCCUGCCAGCAGUGAUUUCACUGACUCCAACCAUAAUAGCCUCUUCCCUCCCCUCAGGCCAGGAGCACACCUCUGUCAUGAAAAAUUUCCCUCCUGUCUUGUACCUUCAGCCUGAUCUGCCUGCAGCCCGACCUGCAGGUUGUUUUUCUUCUCACUGCUUAAAAUGCUUUGGAAACAAAGACUCCCUAAUCCCCCCAGCCCAGCCAGGCACCUCUGGGAAGCCCCUCCUGGUAGUGCAGAGGGAGCAGUAGCCUCAGCAGGAGGUACAGGGCACCCCACAAGCUGGUGGGAUGAGCUGAAUGGAGGCUGUGUAGGAAACAGGAUCUCAUGGGCUGGUGGGGAUGGAGCAGGACACAGAGGUGAAACCAUGAGAUGUGAUCUGGGGGGAAGAAGAGCAGAGAUCCUGACACCUGGCCACUGCCCAGCCCAUCAGUCUCAAAUGGAAAGAGCUCACCUGUGUAGGAGGAGAAGCUGGCUGAGGUUGUGACAACCUUAUCUGCCUUUAAGACCACUCCACAAAUGACCAAAAUCUAAGAUUCUGUGCAAUGACUUCAAAGUGCAUGUGGUACAGGAAAAAAGUCUCCAGCCAUGACAGACUGGUGUUCAUCACAUCAUUUCCUAGUGAGGAGGAGAGAGAGAUGAUUCAGACCCAAAUCAGACUGGACAAGUGUGAAUCACAGCAUUUGCCUCACAUUCCUUCCAGCCAAAACCAGCCCUGCCUGUUGCUGCUUGGGGCUGGGAGCAUCAAUACAGGCAUUUCUUUAAUUUGGGGGUGCACAGAAGUUUCAUUAAUUCAUUUCCAUCUGCCACUGCUGAAGUGCUGUGGACACAGGAGUCCUCCAGCUGAGAUGGGAAUCUGUCUCACAGGCAGGAUUUGAUGCAGGGAGGCAGCAGCAUCCAGGUCUCAGGGUCCAUUUAGAAGGUUAGCAACGAGGCAAACUCCAUCUGCUAGUGCCACCCUGAGUAUAAACAAUGAGGGAGAUGGAUUUGGUCUUGAAACCUGUCUCAGACCCUGGUUACCCAAGAGGAUAAAUGCAAAACCAGACACUGACCUCCCUUAUCAGCUGAGUAGGAAGCAGAGCUCUGCCUUCACAUCAUCUCAGCCUCAAGGAUGGCCCUUGAGCAAGGAUUGGAGACCUCACCGUAUCAGAAACAAGAACCCUUCUUUAAAAAAUGUCCAGUACAGUAUGCCCUUGGGGAAAGGUCAGAAAUUAUUUUCUGCCCAUUUCUUAAUGCAAGUAGAGCAUGAAGGAUUGACUCAUCUGAAGCAAAGCAGCAAGGCAGUGACAUCAUCACAACCACCAUCCAAAUACUCUCUGAUGGAACCAAAAAUCUUACACCUACUUUGCAGAGGCAUCUGCUCAGUAUGUCUGGAAGCUUUUCCCCCUUACAUGGUGUUAUAUAUUGCAUACUUUUUAGUUUUUGUUUGCACGAAAAAGAUUUUCACUAUUCUGUAGGACGGAGCUGGUGGAUUAACCUUUAUCAUUUCAUUUUAGAAUAGGAAUGGGUGAAUAGCAUGCUAUGGUCAAGCUUUCUGAAUAAAAAACCUGUGGUAAGGGAAAAGAUGAUCUCU
rnacentral:lncRNA from 1 species